AUAAGUGUAGGGGAUGAUGAAGUAUGGCUUGUAUAUGGGCACUUGAGCCAUAUGGAGUCAAUAGUGCAACCGACCUACGCAUUA
rnacentral:ncRNA from 2 species